rnacentral:rRNA from 1 species
GAUGAACGCUGGCGGCGUGCUUAACACAUGCAAGUCGAACGAAACACCUUAUUUGAUUUUCUUCGGAACUGAAGAUUUGGUGAUUGAGUGGCGGACGGGUGAGUAACGCGUGGGUAACCUGCCCUGUACAGGGGGAUAACAGUCAGAAAUGACUGCUAAUACCGCAUAAGACCACAGCACCGCAUGGUGCAGGGGUAAAAACUCCGGUGGUACAGGAUGGACCCGCGUCUGAUUAGCUGGUUGGUGAGGUAACGGCUCACCAAGGCGACGAUCAGUAGCCGGCUUGAGAGAGUGAACGGCCACAUUGGGACUGAGACACGGCCCAAACUCCUACGGGAGGCAGCAGUGGGGAAUAUUGCACAAUGGGGGAAACCCUGAUGCAGCGACGCCGCGUGAGUGAAGAAGUAUCUCGGUAUGUAAAGCUCUAUCAGCAGGGAAGAAA